rnacentral:hammerhead_ribozyme from 1 species
AUCCAACUGAAGAGGCUCAAACAGGACGAAACAAAGUCAUGGAU